rnacentral:tRNA from 1 species
GGAGGGAUCGCAUAGUCCGGCCUAGUGCGCGGCACUCGAAAUGCCGUGAGGCGUUUAUUCGCCUCCGUGGGUUCGAAUCCCACUCCCUCCG